rnacentral:rRNA from 1 species
AUGAUGGUGAAUCCGCCGCCGGGCAGUUCUUCUCUGACGCUGCCGACCGCUCGCUGCUCGUCCCGCGGCGGCCUCCUAUGCGGGGUGCUGCCGAUGCGAUCGACCAGAGCUCCCCGGCCUGCCGUCGCUAGAGCAGUGGCCAAGAACAAGCCACAAGUUGGAGGAAAUGUUGCGAGCAUGCCAAAUCUGUUAGGAUCAUUAAAUUGCAAGGUCGAGAAGAAGGCUAGAGAGACUCAAACAAAGAAGCAGCUCCACAAACCUGAAGAAGUGCCGACGUGUCAGGAAAGUCUACAUCGCCAACUUUCCAUGGUGGAUGUGCUCCAAAAGAUCGGUAUAUCUCGGCAUUUUGCCAGUGAGAUCAAGAGUAUCCUGGAUUUUACAUACAGUUAUUGGUUACAAAGAGAUGAGAUCAUGCUAGAUGUGGAGACAUGUGCCAUGGCGUUCCGCAUCUUACGGAUGAAUGGGUACAAUGUAUCAGCUGAUGGCCUGUCACAUAUCUCCACCGAUCUGAGUGACACGAGAUCUUUGUUGGAACUAUACAAGGCUUCACAAGUUAGUACUUCAGACGAUGAGUUGAUUCUGGAUAUUAUAGGAUACUGGUCAGGUCACCUACUGAGGCAACAACUGAAAUCUAGUGAGGCACAAAGAACCCCACUCCUAAGAGAGGUAGAACAUGUUCUUGAUAGCCCCUUCUACACCAUGUUGGAUCGUCUGGAGCAUAAGAGGAACAUCGAACAAUUUGACAUAAUCGAGCAUCCCAUCCUACAAUUGACUUGGCAGACAAAUCAAGAUCUUCUAGCUUUGGGUGUCAUGGAUUUCAAUACAAGUCAAUCUAUUUACCAACAAGAAUAUCAGCAUCUCGAGAGUUGGGUGAGAGAGAGCAGGCUGAACCGGCUACCUUUCGCAAGACAGAAGUUGGCAUAUUUCUACCUGUCAGCUGCCAGCACCAUGUUCCCUCCGGAGCUAUCUGAUGCUCGCAUCCUAUGGGCCAAGAAUGGCGCGCUCACAACGGUUGUUGAUGACUUCUUUGACGUUGGGGGAUCAAAAGACGAAUUGGAGAACCUCACUGCAUUAGUCGAGAUGUGGGAGCACCAAGAGGAAACUGAGUACUACUCUGAACAAGUCGAGAUCGUGUUCUCUGCAAUUUAUAGCUCGGUAAACGAGCUUGGAUCAAAGGCUUCCACAGUGCAAGGUCGCGAUGUCACGGGACACCUAGUAGAAAUUUGGCAAGAAUUGCUAAGGAAUAUGAUGACUGAGGUGGAAUGGAGAACGGGCGGAUACGUUCCAACUCUAGAUGAGUACAUAGAAAAUGCAGUUGUGACAUUUGCGUUGGGCCCAAUUGUGCUUCCGGCGUUGUACUUUGUUGGACCAAAGAUUACGGAGUCUAUGGUCAUAGAUCCUGAGUACAGUGAGUUGUUUAGGCUGACGAGCACUUGCGGUCGUCUUCUCAAUGACGUCCAAACCUACGAGAGGGAGUACAAAGAGGGUAAACUCAACAGUGUCUCUCUGCUCGUGCUUCACAAUGAUGGCUCUUUGACUAUACCAGAGGCUAGGAGGAAGUUGCAGAAGCCCAUAGACACCUGCAGAAGAGACCUGCUAAGGUUGGUCCUUAGGGAGGACGAUGCCGUGCCUAGGCCUUGCAAGGAACUGUUCUGGAACAUAUGCAAGACAUGCUACUUUUUCUAUUAUCAGGGAGACGCAUUUAGCUGCCAAGAGGAGAAGGCCGGUGCGGUGGAUGCGGUGAUACAUGAUCCACUCCAACUCCCGAUGAAUCUACUCUCUGACCUUGAUUUAUCUACUUUGCGUGAGAAAACAAAGAUCAACCAUUAA